rnacentral:rRNA from 1 species
UCUCAGUUCAGAUUGCAGGCUGCAACUCGCCUGCAUGAAGUCGGAAUUGCUAGUAAUCGCAGAUCAGCAUGCUGCGGUGAAUACGUUCCCGGGCCUUGUACACACCGCCCGUCACACCAUGGGAGUCGGUAACACCCGAAGUCGGUAGCCUAACCGUAAGGAGGGCGCCGCCGAAGGUGGGAUUGAUGACUGGGGUGAAGUCGUAACAAGGUAAC